rnacentral:rRNA from 1 species
CCUACGGGAGGCAGCAGUGGGGAAUAUUGCACAAUGGGCGCAAGCUGAUGCAGCCAUGCCGCGUGUAUGAUGAAGGCCUUCGGGUUGUAAAGUACUUUCAGCGGGGAGGAAGGGAGUAAAGUUAAUACCUUUGCUCAUUGACGUUACCCGCAGAAGAUGCACCGGCUAACUCCGUGCCAGCNGCCGCGGUAAUACGGAGGGUGCAAGCGUUAAUCGGAAUUACUGGGCGUAAUGCGCACGCAGGCGGUUUGUUAAGUCAGAUGUGAAAUCCCCGGGCUCAACCUGGGAACUGCAUCUUGUACUGGCAAGCUUGAGUCUCGUAGAGGGGGGUAGAAUUCCAUGUGUAGCAGUGAAAUGCGUAGAGAUCUGGUGGAAUACCGGUGGCGAAGGCGGCCCCCUGGACGAUGACUGACGCUCAGGUGCGAAAGCGUGGGUGAGCAAACAGGAUUAGAUACCCUUGUAGUCCACGCCGUAAACGAUGUCGACUUGGAGGUUGUGCCCUUGAUGCGUGGCUUCCGGGACUAACGCGUUAAGUCGACCGCCUGGGGAGUACGGCAGCAAGGUUAAAACUCAAAUGAAUUGACGGGGGCCAGCACAAGCGGUGGAGCAUGUGGUUUAAUUCGAUGCAACGCGAAGAACCUUACCUGGUCUUGACAUCCACGGAAGUUUUCAGAGAUGAGAAUGUGCCUUCGGGAACCGUGAGACAGGUGCUGCAUGGCUGUCGUCAGCUCGUGUUGUGAAAUGUUGGGUUAAGUCCCGCAACGAGCGCAACCCUUAUCCUUUGUUGCCAGCGGUCCGGCCGGGAACUCAAAGGAGACUGCAAGUGAUAAACUGGAGGAAGGUGGGGAUGACGUCAAGUCAUCAUGGCCCUUACGACCAGGGCUACACACGUGCUACAAUGGCGCAUACAAAGAGAAGCGACCUCGCGAGAGCAAGCGGACAUCAUAAAGUGCGUCGUAGUCCGGAUUGGAGUCUGCAACUCGACUCCAUGAAGUCGGAAUCGCUAGUAAUCGUGGAUCAGAAUGCCACGGUGAAUACGUUCCCGGGCCUUGUACACACCGCCCGUCACACCAUGGGAAUUGGUUUG